rnacentral:rRNA from 1 species
UAACACAUGCAAGUCGAGGGGCAGCAUGGUCUUAGCUUGCUAAGGCCGAUGGCGACCGGCGCACGGGUGAGUAACACGUAUCCAACCUGCCGUCUACUCUUGGACAGCCUUCUGAAAGGAAGAUUAAUACAAGAUGGCAUCAUGAGUCCACAUGUUCACAUGAUUAAAGGUAUUCCGGUAGACGAUGGGGAUGCGUUCCAUUAGAUAGUAGGCGGGGUAACGGCCCACCUAGUCUUCGAUGGAUAGGGGUUCUGAGAGGAAGGUCCCCCACAUUGGAACUGAGACACGGUCCAAACUCCUACGGGAGGCAGCAGUGAGGAAUAUUGGUCAAUGGGCGAGAGCCUGAACCAGCCAAGUAGCGUGAAGGAUGACUGCCCUAUGGGUUGUAAACUUCUUUUAUAAAGGAAUAAAGUCGGGUAUGCAUACCCGUUUGCAUGUACUUUAUGAAUAAGGAUCGGCUAACUCCGUGCCAGCAGCCGCGGUAAUACGGAGGAUCCGAGCGUUAUCCGGAUUUAUUGGGUUUAAAGGGAGCGUAGAUGGAUGUUUAAGUCAGUUGUGAAAGUUUGCGGCUCAACCGUAAAAUUGCAGUUGAUACUGGAUAUCUUGAGUGCAGUUGAGGCAGGCGGAAUUCGUGGUGUAGCGGUGAAAUGCUUAGAUAUCACGAAGAACUCCGAUUGCGAAGGCAGCCUGCUAAGCUGCAACUGACAUUGAGGCUCGAAAGUGUGGGUAUCAAACAGGAUUAGAUACCCUGGUAGUCCACACGGUAAACGAUGAAUACUCGCUGUUUGCGAUAUACAGCAAGCGGCCAAGCGAAAGCGUUAAGUAUUCCACCUGGGGAGUACGCCGGCAACGGUGAAACUCAAAGGAAUUGACGGGGGCCCGCACAAGCGGAGGAACAUGUGGUUUAAUUCGAUGAUACGCGAGGAACCUUACCCGGGCUUAAAUUGCAGAUGAAUUACGGUGGAAGCCGUAAGCCGCAAGGCAUCUGUGAAGGUGCUGCAUGGUUGUCGUCAGCUCGUGCCGUGAGGUGUCGGCUUAAGUGCCAUAACGAGCGCAACCCUUGUUGUCAGUUACUAACAGGUCAUGCUGAGGACUCUGACAAGAAUGCCAUCGUAAGAUGUGAGGAAGGUGGGGAUGACGUCAAAUCAGCACGGCCCUUACGUCCGGGGCUACACACGUGUUACAAUGGGGGGUACAGAGGGCCGCUACCACGCGAGUGGAUGCCAAUCCCAAAAACCUCUCUCAGUUCGGACUGGAGUCUGCAACCCGACUCCACGAAGCUGGAUUCGCUAGUAAUCGCGCAUCAGCCACGGCGCGGUGAAUACGUUCCCGGGCCUUGUACACACCGCCCGUCAAGCCAUGGGAGCCGGGGGUACCUGAAGUGCGUAACCGCGAGGAGCGCCCUAGGGUAAAACUGGUGACUGGGGCUAAGUCGU